rnacentral:rRNA from 1 species
UACGGGGGGUGCGAGCGUUGUCCGGAAUCACUGGGCGUAAAGGGCGCGUAGGUGGCCUGAUAAGGGUGUGGUGAAAGUCCGGGGCUCAACCCCGGAUCGGCCGUGCCGACUGUUAGGCUAGAGUACUGUAGGGGCAGGCGGAAUUCCGGGUGUAGCGGUGGAAUGCGUAGAGAUCCGGAGGAAGACCGGUGGCGAAGGCGGCCUGCUGGGCAGUUACUGACACUGAGGCGCGACAGCGUGGGAGCAAACAGG